AUUGAACGCUGGCGGAAUGCUUUACACAUGCAAGUCGAACGGCAGCACGGACUUCGGUCUGGUGGCGAGUGGCGAACGGGUGAGUAAUGUAUCGGAACGUGCCCAGUCGUGGGGGAUAACGUAGUGAAAAUUACGCUAAUACCGCAUACGAUCUAUGGAUGAAAGCGGGGGAUCGCAAGACCUCGCGCGAUUGGAGCGGCCGAUAUAAGAUUAGGUAGUUGGUGGGGUAAAGGCCCACCAAGCCAACGAUCUGUAGCUGGUCUGAGAGGACGACCAGCCACGCUGGAACGGAGACACGUUCCAGACUCCUACGGGAGGCAGCAGUGGGGAAUUUUGGACAAUGGGCGAAAGCCUGAUCCAGCCAUUCCGUGUGCAGGAUGAAGGCCCUCGGGUUGUAAACUGCUUUUGUACAGAACGAAAAGGUUUCUACUAAUACUAGGAGCUCAUGACGGUACUGUAAGAAUAAGCACCGGCUAACUACGUGCCAGCCGCCGCCGUAA
rnacentral:rRNA from 1 species